GAAAAAUGUAGUUUAAUGUAGCAUCCAUUUGGAAUGAAUUAACAAAGAUGACAUGUCCUGAAAAUCUGAUGAUCAUCAGCUAGUUGGAUCAGUCCAAUUGGGAGUUGAACUAGUGACUGGUUCAUUCUAGUUUGAUUUUAUUUUAUUAAUAGUCAUUUUUAAUCUUACAGAGCUAUUAGAUAUUAUUUUUUUGUAUAUAUUUUCUAUUUUCUUUCAUGUUUUAAAUUUAGUCUAACCAGUUGAAUGAAUCGAGCAAAUGAAUUAGUUAGCAGGCCAGCCUGAUUUUACUAAUGUUGAAAUAUUCUUAACUGUUUAACGGUUCAAGAGUAAUAGUGCAAGUCUUAAAAAGUUAUCAGGAUUGAUUAAAAAAAAUUGAUUAGCAUUUAAUUGAAGAAUUCUAUAACUAUUAUUGCUUGUGAUGUAGUUAAGUCCUAUUUUUAUUCAACAUCAUGCUUCUAAUUGAUUUGCAAAAAUUUUCUAGGUAGAUGACUUUUGACUCUCAAUUAUUGCAGUUAUUUAGAGUAUAGUUAUCUUUCUUUAUAUGGUAAACUACAUGUUUCAAGUUGUACAAACCAUGUAUGCAGGACAUAGCAUCAAAGAUUAUGGCUUUCUCACAGCAAGGGCUGUGAACAGUUUGUAUUUUGUCUGCGAAUGGUGCUAUUUGUAAUGUUACGCUUCGUCAGCCAGCAAUGU
rnacentral:misc_RNA from 1 species